CUCGGCAACGGAUAUCUCGGCUCUCGCAUCGAUGAAGAACGUAGCGAAAUGCGAUACUUGGUGUGAAUUGCAGAAUCCCGUGAACCAUCGAGUCUUUGAACGCAAGUUGCGCCCGAAGCAAUUAGGCUGAGGGCACGUCUGCCUGGGCGUCACGC
rnacentral:rRNA from 1 species